rnacentral:rRNA from 1 species
UACGUAGGGGGCAAGCGUUGUCCGGAUUUAUUGGGCGUAAAGAGCGUGUAGGCGGCCAGGUAGGUCAGCUGUGAAAACUCGAGGCUCAACCUCGAGACGUCGGUUGAAACCACCUGGCUAGAGUCCGGAAGAGGAGAGUGGAAUUCCUGGUGUAGCGGUGAAAUGCGCAGAUAUCAGGAAGAACACCCGUGGCGAAGGCGGCUCUCUGGGACGGUACUGGAUGCUG